rnacentral:tRNA from 1 species
GGCCUGUGGCUCAGUGCUAGAGCACUCGCCUAGCAUGUAGAGCCCUGGGUUCGAUCCUCAACACCA